rnacentral:rRNA from 1 species
CGGAUGUGUAAGUCAGUGGUGAAAUCUCGCAGCUUAACUGCGAAACUGCCAUUGAUACUGCAUGUCUUGAGUAAAUUUGAAGUGGCUGGAAUAAGUAGUGUAGCGGUGAAAUGCAUAGAUAUUACUUAGAACACCAAUUGCGAAGGCAGGUCACUAAGAUUUAACUGACGCUGAUGGACGAAAGCGUGGGGAGCGAACAGGAUUAGAUACCCUGGUAGUCCACGCCGUAAACGAUGCUAACUCGUUUUUUGUGCUUCGGCAUGAGAGACUAAGCGAAAGUGAUAAGUUAGCCACCUGGGGAGUACGUUCGCAAGAAUGAAACUCAAAGGAAUUGACGGGGGCCCGCACAAGCGGUGGAUUAUGUGGUUUAAUUCGAUGAUACGCGAGGAACCUUACCAAGACUUAAAUGGGAAAUGACAGAUUUAGAAAUAGAUCCUUCUUCGGACAUUUUUCAAGGUGCUGCAUGGUUGUCGUCAGCUCGUGCCGUGAGGUGUUAGGUUAAGUCCUGCAACGAGCGCAACCCCUGUCACUAGUUGCUAGCAUUAAGUUGAGGACUCUAGUGAGACUGCCUACGCAAGUAGAGAGGAAGGUGGGGAUGACGUCAAAUCAUCACGGCCCUUACGUCUUGGGCCACACACGUAAUACAAUGGCCGGUACAGAGGGCAGCUACACAGCGAUGUGAUGCAAAUCUCGAA